AGGUGAUAGGUGUUAGGUGUUAGGUGUUAGGUGAUAGGUGAUAGGUGUUAGGUGAUAGGUGUUAGGUGAUAGGUGUUAGGUGUUAGGUGACAGGUGAUAGGUGAUAGGUGAUAGGUGAUAGGUGAUAGGUGAUAGGUGAUAGGUGAUAGGUGUUAGGUGAUAGGUGACAGGUGUUAGGUGUUAGGUGUUAGGUGAUAGGUGAUAGGUGUUAGGUGACAGGUGAUAGGUGUUAGGUGAUAGGUGUUAGGUGAUAGGUGUUAGGUGUUAGGUGAUAGGUGAUAGGUGACAGGUGAUAGGUGAUAGGUGAUAGGUGAUAGGUGUUAGGUGAUAGGUGAUAGGUGAUAGGUGAUAGGUGUUAGGUGAUAGGUGUUAGGUGUUAGGUGAUAGGUGAUAGGUGAUAGGUGAUAGG